AAGAUGAAGACCCCAUCUAUCUCUCCACUCCUCGGUGUGUGUGUGCUGCUGCUGUCUGCACCGACUGUUUCUGCAGUGUCUCUGUCUGUCAGUCCAAACCUUCAGCAGUUCUUCAGAGGAUCUUCUUCAGUGUCUCUGAGUUGUGUUGAUGAUGGACAGACAGCUGAUGGAUGGACAGUGAAGAGGACCAGAGGAAACCUCACUGAGGACUGUGGAGCAGCUGCUUCAGAGUUUAGUAGGAUUAACAGUUCCUUCUGUGCUCUCGGUCUCUCCACUGGUGGAAGUUUCCUGUGUGUAAACUCAUCUGGAGAGCAGAGUGAUGAAGUCUCCAUCAGUGUCUCAGAAGGAGGUGUGAUCCUGGAGAUUCCUGCACUUCCUGUCAUGACAGGAAGUGAUGUCACUUUGUACUGUACACCCAAAGAGGGAGAAAGACGAAAAUCUUACUUCAUCAGAGAUAAUGUUCCACUUGGAUCUGGACCUGAAGGAAAGUGGAUUCUCUCUAAAGUCAACCGGUCUGAUGAAGGUCUCUACUCGUGUUAUACUGAUAUUCAUCCACCUUCUCCUCAGAGCAGACUGAGGGUCAGAGAUCCUCCUCCCACCACAACGUCUCCUCUUCUUCUCACUACUUUCCCUCCCUCCUCUUCCUCUCCACACUCUUCCUCCUUCCUUCCUCUUUAUCUCCUGGUGCUCCCUGUAGUCCUGGUCCUGGUCCUGGUUGGAGGUGUGGUUCUGUUGAAGAAACUGAGAGGUAUGUCUCACCUGAACUAACCAGGUAAACUCAUUCACCUGAAGUUCUCUGAGGGUGACAGUCAGACUUUACUCAUGAGGAUCUGAUGAUCUACUUUCCCUUUUCUAUGUGAGAUGAUGCUCAGAGCUGCCAGCCUGUCUUCACUCUCCAGUUAGAUGUUAAGCUUCUCUUAUUCUGGAAUGGAAUUUUAAUGUUCACAGUCAGCUGUAGUCAACUCUAAGACUUUAGAACAAGUCAUAUAUCUUCACAAUGAUACAAAGUAACAAUCACGGUUGGUCUCUGAU
ensembl:lncRNA